rnacentral:tRNA from 1 species
GGGCCGGUAGUUCAGUGGUAGAAACUCAGGGAGAGAUGCAAUGUCCGCCUCGCACGCGGAAGGUCUUCGAUAGGACCCGUUGGGUCAGGGGUUCAAAUCCCCUCCGGUCCA